AUGCACGCUGGCGGCGUGCUUAACCCAUGCCAGUCGCACGGUGAAGGCGGAGCUUGCUCUGCUGGAUCAGUGGCGAACGGGUGAGUAACACGUGAGCAAUCUGCCCCUGACUCUGGGAUAAGCGCUGGAAACGGCGUCUAAUACUGGAUACGAGCUGCGAAGGCAUCUUCAGCAGCUGGAAAGAAUUUCGGUCAGGGAUGAGCUCGCGGCCUAUCAGCUUGUUGGUGAGGUAAUGGCUCACCAAGGCGUCGACGGGUAGCCGGCCUGAGAGGGUGACCGGCCACACUGGGACUGAGACACGGCCCAGACUCCUACGGGAGGCAGCAGUGGGGAAUAUUGCACAAUGGGCGAAAGCCUGAUGCAGCAACGCCGCGUGAGGGACGACGGCCUUCGGGUUGUAAACCUCUUUUAGCAGGGAAGAAGCGAAAGUGACGGUACCUGCAGAAAAAGCGCCGGCUAACUACGUG
rnacentral:rRNA from 1 species